rnacentral:rRNA from 1 species
AUGGGAAGAUAUCGCUAUCCCCAAGUGCGUGGGGGGCGCAUGGGCUUCCCGGAUUUUCAUUUGUUCAAUCAGGACAUGCUUGCCAAGCAAGGAUGGAGGCUUAUAUCUAAUCCGGAAUCCCUGUGUGCGAGAGUGCUCCGAGGGAAAUAUUAUGACGGGAAAGACUUUAUGAAUGCCACGAAACCAAAAGGAUCAUCUCACAAUUGGCGAGCCGUAUUAUUUGGCAGGGAAGCUCUAAAACUCGGUUUGAUCAAGAGGAUGGGAGAAGGGGACUCGAUCAAUGUUUGGGAGAUCCAUGGAUUCCAGACAACUUCGGGUACAAAGCUAUAG